GGUUUCCUAGUGUAGGAGUUAGCAUGUCUGCUUUAUACGCAGAAGGUCCUGGGUUCGCACCCCAGUGGAGCCA
rnacentral:tRNA from 1 species